rnacentral:rRNA from 1 species
AUUGAACGCUGGCGGCAGGCCUAUCACAUGCAAGUCGAACGGUAACAGGAAGAAGCUUGCUUCUUUGCUGACGAGUGGCGGACGGGUGAGUAAUGUCUGGGAAACUGCCUGAUGGAGGGGGAUAACUACUGGAAACGGUAGCUAAUACCGCAUAACGUCGCAAGACCAAAGAGGGGGACCUUCGGGCCUCUUGCCAUCGGAUGUUCCCAGAUGGGAUUAGCUAGUAGGUGGGGUAACGGCUCACCUAGGCGACGAUCCCUAGCUGGUCUGAGAGGAUGACCAGCCACACUGGAACUGAGACACGGUCCAGACUCCUACGGGAGGCAGCAGUGGGGAAUAUUGCACAAUGGGCGCAAGCCUGAUGCAGCCAUGCCGCGUGUAUGAAGAAGGCCUUCGGGUUGUAAAGUACUUUCAGCGGGGAGGAAGGGAGUAAAGUUAAUACCUUUGCUCAUUGACGUUACCCGCAGAAGAAGCACCGGCUAACUCCGUG